UCAAAUUAAGCACAUUGUACCGUGCAUGGUUCAAAAUCUUUUAACCAAUGUGGACUGUCAAACAGCUUCAGCUGUUCCCAGAAGAGAACAAUAUAACUAGCUGAUAUGAAUAAUGUUUGUAAAUCUGAAUAAUAGCACUUCCUGAAAAACAAUGUCUUUUUCUGUAUAUGUCUUUUUAUUACCUGCAGCUCUUUCAUCACCCACCAUCUGCUCUUUGAUUCAGCUCUUUCCUUUUUCCCAUGCUAAUAGCUGUUAACACUGAACCUGCCUGUUACAGUUCAGGCUGUAAACAGCAUGAAAAUAUUCAGCGUUGCUGGUGUCAAGAAUCUUCAGUGCAGUCUCAGACUUUAAAGGGCAAGAACAAAUCCAGACAAGAUUUGGAAGAGCUCUUUCAUCAGAUCAAAAUAUUUAUAAUGUCAAUGCCAAUCAGAUGAUGGAUCGCUGCACCUUCUUAGAGAAACAGCUGUAUUCCAAAAUUCAGCCGUAGGUCUGUAUAUGAAACGUAGAAAAUAUGACAUGCUUCCUGAUGAAAUAGUGAGUUCUAGGCCAACAAACAUACCAGUCAAAAUAGUUAAGUGCUAAUUACUUUGUCACUAGUACCUAAUGAAUUUCACCAGUACCUAAUGAAUUUGCUCAUAGCUGUCUCCUUUAAAGCUAAUUAAAUGCCUGAACAGACCUUCCAUGUUUAAUAAACUAAUACGAAUGAUUCAUUUAUAGCAUGUGCAUUUUUGAAUAAUUACUAAGCAGCUGUUCUUAUCUCCAGUAUUUUUAUUAAACCUCAGCAAUCAGUUUUAACAAUAAUUCAGUAUUUAAAUUGCAUGAUCUUGAAAACUUGUUUAUAUUGAUUUGUGUUUCUUCUUUCAAAUGAUUUUAUUUCAGUAUACACUGUGAUUUGUCAACAUGUAUAGAAUUUAAUUUUAGUUGCUAGUAAUAAGUUACUUACAAUUUAAUAAUUACAUUGCAGGACAAUGGAUUUUCUUCUUAUCUGUAUUGCUGUGUUAAUUCUUCCCAAGGAUUCGUCCAGCCCAGUAUUCUGUUCCAAAAGUGGUCAUGAGCAGGCACAGAAAAAAAUCUGUUUCCAGGUGCACACCCAGGUUUUGCAAGAGCCCAUGUGAAAUAUGCAUCCAUAACAACCCUUACUGCCCCUUGUCUGGCUCUCCCCCUGUUCUUUUGUGAUCGGUCUUAGUUCUUGCUUUGUAAGGAACAGUUUAUCAUCAAUCUCCAUUCCCUUUCUUCUUGCCAUACCUGCAGAUCUCUGUACUUUCCUCCUCCAGUCUUUGCUCCUCCAGACUGAAGACACCAAGCCUUCUCAGUUAUUCAAAGCAGAAUGCUACAUGUCACCCCCACAAAAUGCCCUGUGCACACCUCUGUUUCCUUGUUCAUGAGGUGAAAACAAUUGUACUUUUUAAUCUUUUUCAAGCACUUUGGUAUGUAAGAAAGAAUGUUAUUCUGUUCCGCUUACAUAUCCUUUCAAACAGAAAAUUAUUAUUAUUAUUAUUAUAGGAAUCUUCUCUGGAGAUAUUCAAGACCUGCCUGGAUGCUUUCUUGUUCAACCUACUGUAAGGAACCUCAUUGUAGCAAGGGGGUGAACUUAAUGAUCUCCAGAGGUCCCUUCCAACAUCUACAAUUUUGUGAUUCAGUGAUUAUUAAUGCUAAAAUUAAAACAAUGGAGUUUAAUUUGUUUCUACUUCUUUGGCUUAUUUGAUUAGUGGUUAUUUUUGUCAAUAAGAAGGCAUUCAAUACAGGUUGAUAUAGUAGAUGUUAAAUAGCAGAUCUUAAAUGUUAUAUUUGUCUUAUAACUAAUAUUUGAAUGAGUUUAUCAAAUGAACAGGUGUGUAAUACAUGCAAAUGCAUAAAAAUAUAGACAGGUGUUAGGGACAUAAUAUAGGAACAUAUUAUAAACAUAAUAUAGGAACAUAAUAUAAAGCAAUAGAGAAUGCAUGUUUGCUCUUUUGCGAAUGAGAUUUGCUAGUACCAAAAAUGAAUGCAUGAGAUAUUCUACUUCCUGCUGGUAAAAGAUUUCUGUGGAUAUGGUGAGGAAGACUCUAAAUAAUGAGAGGAAAUUAAAUCAGAAACAGGUCAGCUCAGAUUCCUAUCUUAUUAAAAACAAAUGAAUUUGGAUAAUGUGUUUUUCUUCUUGCUAGACAAUCAGUGCUGUACAGUCUGUGAUUUGUCCUUUGGAGGAAGGGUCACUGAGAGAAGUCCAUUAGGUCAUUGCCAAUCUGUUAGCAGAGAGGUUCAGUGCUGGGAACUAACCUGAGCUGACACGAGAACAGCUGUGGGUCCUAACAAGUGGAUGGCAUGCACAGACUGUCUUGAACGUGGACAAAAACACAGGCUUUAUGUAUUUCUAAUCAAAUGGUGUAUUAAUCCUCAUGUACAGACAUGCAGGAUACCAAAUAGCAACACACACUUCAAAGCUCUUGCUGAGUAUCAAAAUGAAUGCUACUAAAAUGAAUGAAUAUAUGAAUGAUUCACAGAAGCUAGAGCUAAAAAACAAAACAAAACAAAACAAAACAAACAAAAAUAGAUAUCAAUACUUUUGUUCUUUUUCCCUAAGUGAAUUAUGUAAUGAUGCAGGAAGACUAAUUAAGUUAAUAUGCUGUCUUCAGAAAUUUUCUGCUAUUGCAGAUGCCAAAAUUUGUCCUUCAUUGUACAAUUUAGGAUUUCAAGGGUGUGUGCUGUAUUAUAGAAGCUACCCAGUCCUUGCUAGCCUAACAAAUCUACCAUUCUUUAAACAAAUGUAUUUUGACCUUGACAGUCAAUUGUUUUUAUGAUUUAUUAAAUCAAUGGCUGAAUGUUUAAAGUAAUUACUAGGUUUUAAAUGCCUGCCUAGUACAGCAGGAACUGAACAGGUAUGGCUUUAUUUCUACUGAAAAUGAUUCAUUUUGCAAACUGAAUUUCCUCAAAUUUCUUUCCUUCCUGGUUUCCAAGUUUAAGUCUCAUUCCUUCAAACAAUCAAUGUCAACUAACUAAAAGAACAUAUUAAUUAUAAACGUUUUGCAUACAGUUUAAACCAGCACCUUAAGUUAAGACCCCUUAUUGUCAAUAAAAAGAUAUAGGAAGCUUUAGGAGAAAAAUCCAUCCUGUCUUCCUUUAUUACGUAUCUUCAAAUGAUGUUUAACCCACCAUCCCUUGGUGGGUCCACUUCUCUUUUUGAGGUUAACAAAUUAUUUUGGCCUAACAAUUAGUCCCAAGAAAAACAUUUAACUUUGAGACAUGCAAGAUCAGAUGAGUCACAUCUCAUUUGGAUCCCUUUCCUUUGCAAAAGUAAAGGUCUGGUCUCCUGGAAGGAUAAAUUUAAGCAAUGAAUGAGUAGGAGGCUCUCUGAGUAGUCUUUCUACUAGGAUGAUCACAUGUCCUCGUUCAGAGACAAGACACAUUAUUGAAGAGUGUUUCCUGAGAGUCAAUGUAAAUAACAUAUUUAUUAGUACAUUUUGGCACUGUAGGAGUAAUGACCCAUUGAGUAAAUGGCCCAUUCUUCAUUUCUUCUGUUCCUUGAAGGGGACAAGAAGGCAGAGGUUACGAAGUGUAAGUUUCUGCCUCUCUUUGAUCAUCCCAAGGUACACAGAUAGGUAUUUUAUUUUUAUUUUAUUUGUUUGUUUUUUUGUUUUUGUUUUAAUCCAUGUGGAACAACUCAAAGAAGAGCUCAAAGGAAGAAUUAUUCCUCAUUUUCUAGUGUUUUAAAAUUUUAAACAAAAACAGCCCUAAUCCAUAUACCAUCAUAGAUACUGAUUGUAUAUAUUAGAAUGAGGACUGAUAGAGUAAAAAGAUUAAUACAUUUGCUGUAAUGUGUUUAUGCUUUCUAUUUACAGUUACCUAACAUCCUGCUAUUCUGCCUGAUGUAGGAAAAGUGUGGUAUAUCUAAAGCAAGCAUUUAUACAGUUUAGUAUAAAUAUUUUUUGAUAUUUGAUAUUUCAUGGGAAAAUGGUAUAAACCAUUAAAAUAUCCAGUUCCAAACUUACUAUUUUAGGGAGGUCUUACUUCAAAUGUUAAUAAACUGGAAUUUCAACAGCAAUGAAGAAUAUGUUAACUACAAUAGGAGCUCUGGGUUUAUUAUGUUAUUAUGUACUUUCUCUAAUGAAAAGUAGCCAAUUAUUUUUGAGGUGUGCAAAAUAUCAUUUAAUUAGCUCUCUAGAAGUUCUUUAGAGUGAGAGAAAUGUAAAAUUAAUCAAAAUCUUGUUUUUAAAAAUUACAUAGAAUGUAAUACAUUGUUAUUUUCCAAUUGAAAAUUGGAAAUUAUGAAUUAUGAAGCUCAAAUACGUCUUCCUUUUUAGAGCCAGCAGUACACAGUAAGGGAGUGGAAAAGCUGCUUGCAGAUUUUAUACUUAGAAAACCUUUAAUUAUUUUCUUGGCUUGUGUAGUCAGUUAAAAUGGGUAAACUGAAACUGAAAGACACUAUCUCCUGCACCCCAUGUUUCCUCACCUUCCAGUUAUUCAGACUCAGGACCUGUCCGAACAGGCCCAGGUAUCACAGUUCCCUUUCCACUUUAAGCACAAUUAAGAGUGGGUUUAAGUAUGGAUCGUGCUUGAAGAUAAUAAGGAGUUAAGGUGCCACACCCUUGACCUGUAAGCUGAGGAAAGUGUUUUCUUCCUCUUGUUUAAAGCCUAAACUCCACAGUCAUUCAGGGCCAAUUCAGAAGCAUGUGAAUGCUAAAAAUCAUUAGCACUUCUUGGCUGAUACUAAUUCUAAUCAUAGGCUGUUAUUUCAGGAGCUCAACAAAGUGUAUGAAUGGUUUUGUGCAUUUUAUAAACAUUUACACAUAUAAAUAUAAUUUCAUUUAUUUAUUUGUUUGUUUAUUUAUUUUUGAGAAGAUUAAGGAAGCCACUCCAUUGUUAUAAGACCUUUCUUUACUACUCUUCCCCAGUAUUUCUACUGGCAAAAUAAAAAUCCAAAACAUAGAAAAAUGUCAUGUUUGCUUAAAAACUUAGUUUAAGAACUCCAAAACUUUAGCUUAGUUCAGUAUGAAGGUUUAUGUGUGUCUUAUGAGCUUGACUUAUUGCAGGAGGAUUACGAUACAUGCACUGUAAUGGAAGAAUUUGCAAUCCUCAAUAGUUUGUUGUUGUUACAGAAAAUACUAAAUUAUAAUAGGUUACUUUCCAUGUAUUAAAAGUACCUGAGAUUUUAGCAUUCAAAACAGCAAAGAUUUUUCCCCUUUCAUUAAAAGCAAUCAUCUCUUUGAAAGGAUGUCCAUAAUGAUUGAAGUAAGAUUCAUCAUCAUAAGAAACAACAGGUGGAAAGCCAAGCUGAGCAAUAAGAAGAAAAAUGUUUUUGUCCCUUUGCACUAUUUAACAUCUUUGUUGGAUAUUUUCUCUAGUGUAUGUUUAACUUGAAUGUUUUAUGAUUGCACAGGAGGUUUUAUAGCACAGAAGUUCUGCAAAGACUUGAAAAGUACUCAGAUGAAAUGAGUUUCAUUUAAAGAUAUUGAAUAUGAAACACCAUGAAAAAUAAAUUAUUCUCUCCUUAUUUAUUUAUUUAUUUAUCCUGCAUAUAUCCUGUUCACUUCUGAUGUUUUUCUUCUGUAUCACAGGCUUAUUUCUGUAAGUAGCAGUAUAAGUUUUUGUAAAGUUGAGUAUUCUCAUCUUUGUGAAAGAGAGCAUGAUAUGAACUUCAAAUUCUUUCCACUCCCACCACUAGAAUAAUUUCUAUUGUAUUUUAAGCAUGGCUUUUUUCAUAAUUUUUCUUCCUUCGCUGCAGUAAGUGUCCUUCUGUCUGACAUAUCCUCUAAGGUAUUUUAACCUUGUGGUAAAUAAACUAUUACAAAACAGUCAGGUUUUCAAAGUUACUGUAUGCUGUGACUAUUGUGUGGUGAGUUCUAGAGAGAGUUGUAUGAUGAUUUGUUUAUAGGAUUGUUUUCUAUGUUACCAAGACUAGAAAAACAAACAAACAAACAAACAAAACAACAGCUCAACUUUCAAAUUAAGCCUGAGAAAAGGAUGUCUAAUGUCACAUGUACCAAAUAGGGGAAACUAUUUGGUAUACUUUUUUGGAAAAAGUAUAGUUUCCCUUGUGCAGUGAAAAUGUAAACAUCCCACAUCAAUAGUUUCAGUAACCCAUGGGAUUAGGUGGUCCUGUUUCUAAAGAAAAGGAGGUGCCUAGUUUGUUUGCUUCUUUGUAACUUUCCAAUUGCUUAAGGUUUUUCAUUUUUCAGGAGAGGAGUUCCAUCUUUUUCAGACCAGAAAAAAUGAAAUGAAAUGAAACUCACUGAACCUUCAGAGUGCAAAGAGUAGUUUCUGUGGCAACGAUCACCCUUUGACAGCUCUAAGAAUGUACCUUUGCUUCCCAUGACUUAUUUACUGUUUCAGUAAUGCAGAUGGCAAAGCUGAGAUCAGCAAGUCAUGCAAUGUCCACUCAUGAUAUAAAGCAUAAAAAUGUAAGUAUCAGAAAAGUUUAUGUAUGCAACAAAAGAGAAAAACAAUAAAAAAAUUAGAUAGCAUUCAGAUGAUUUAUUGAGUUAAUCCAUAAAGCACUGGUAAAUCAGUGAACAGACUAAUUCAGACAACACAUUCUGCUCAAAUAACUGUUUUUCUGGUUUGAAGCAUUAUGUUUAACUUUCUUAAAUGAAAAACUGGCUCGUUUUUCUGCUUUAUCCUCCUUUAAUUAUGCUUUCAUUCUGUACCUGAGCCAAACAUCUGCACACCUGUGCUGUUACUGUUUUCUUUUAUCUUGCAAGGACAUACACCAGGAUUACAUGUUCCAUCUGAUUAGAAAUACAUAAAGUGCUGUGCUUUUGUCGAUGUUUGAGACAGUCUGUUCAUGCCAUCCACUUAGGACCCACAGCUGUUCUUGUUUGUGUCAGCUUGGGUUAGUUCCCAGCACUGAACCUCUCUGCUAACAGAUCGGUGAUAACCUAAUGGACUCCUGUUAGUGAUCCUUCCCCUUCCCCUUCCCCUUCCCCUUUCCCUCCCCUCCCCUCCCCUCCCCUGAGCACUAAGAACAGGAUGAAUUAUGAGUCAAAUGCCAGAGGAUCCCAGGUAUUUUUUUAUUUCAGAGUAUUUAGAUGCCUAAAAAAUCAUUUUUAUACAUAUAUAGCUACCUAGUGGUAUCAGCCAGAAACUGGCAGACUCAGGACUCAUUUUAAAAUUGUGUUUGGUGUAAGACAGUUUUCUGGAAUGCUACCUCAAAGGAAUCUCUGAAGGAAAAUUCACAAGGAAGCAGCAAAUGAGAUGUAUGAGCUUCUAGAUGUUUCCAUCCUCACUGACCUAGUUAGAUAAACAUCUGAAUGGCUCUAUUGAUUGGAUCCUAAGACAGGUUAGGUAGGUGACACUGACUGAGAUCUGUGCACCUGUUGUCACUCACAUCAAUUGGUGACAUGUAUGUUCUUUUUUCCUUUAAAAAAUUAGAUCUAGGCUUCUGCAUAAUGCAGUUAGGAAUAUAUAUUCUUUGCUUGAAGUAGCAAAUACACAUUACUGAACAAUAAGGUAUUAUGAAUAUUGUUAUUUUCUUUACCUAUCAUUCUUUUAAGCUAAUGAAAUAUGCUCUCUAUGCCAUCUCUAGGUACACUUCAUUUGGAUAAAGUUAAGGGCGAAAAAAAACACGAGCAUUGUUAAAAAUAGAAAACAACUUUCUGAUAACUCCUCUCAUCCACUUAAAUGCAGAUGUAUUUUACCUGUUCACAGACACAGUCUACAUAAAUAGUACAUCUUUCACAUAUAGCCCUUUGAGUUUUCAUUAUUAUUACUAUUUUAUUUUAUUUUUUUUGCCAAAAGAGAAUUUUUUACAUGCAGAUGUUUCAUUCUGAUUUCUGAUGUUUAGUCAAUCCACAUUGUCUUUGGAGAUAUAGUUGUGACUUUUCACAGAAAAUGUAAUUGCAAUGUCUGUUCCAGAUUGGAUUGAAAAAUUAAUGACAGGAAAAAUGAUAUAUUGGUAUUUACUAUCAUCAUUGAUAUUUCAAGAGUUGGAGAGAGCCAGCAACAGAUUUGAAAGCUGUUUGAGUAAGUCCCUGUUUGAGCUCGUUCCAGUCUUGAAUGACUAACUUCCAUCUCUUACCUAUUAUCUUUGCAGAAUAUUCACCUUACUUUUGGCAUUGUGUUUAUCUGAUUGCUUCAGGCAAAAUUAGAUUACUGACCUCAUCACUUGGAGUUUUGUUUUAUUCUCAGCAGAAAUCAGUUAGAUCAAACUCAUACAAAGGAUCAGCAAUGAAGCUGGUUCUGGGGGAAUUUUAUUUUUCAUUUGCUUUUAUUUUCCUUUUAUUUCUUUUGUGAAACAGUUUUUACUAAGAUAGGAGUGAAAAUUGAAAGCUAGGUGAAAUAGUGGUGAAACAAUGCAGCUAUUACCUAAGAAAGAGAAGAGAAAAAAAAGUGCAAGCAUUUCCCUGAUGCUACGUUAAUUUACUGUCAAAACAUUUGUCUUUGAAAGUAAUUUAAAAUACUGAUUAUUUAUAAGCUCAGUAGGUUUUGGUUGUGGAGCUGAGACAGUCUACAUACAUAUUGUCUGGAAAAAAAAAAAAAAAACAACUUAUAUGUACAACAUAAAAUGAUUAAUAGAAUCGACUGAAUUUUUUAUGUAAUGUUUCAAUAAUUAGAAUAAAAGCGUUUCUUUAUUCUCUUAUCAUGAUUACUAUUGAGCUACUCAUAUACAAGGAUACCUAAAAAUAUAGAUUAUUUGGAAGUAUUUCCAUGGUAAAUCAAAUCCCAAUUUCCCAUUUCUGUAAGUGUCCAGAUUGAAUGAUUCAGAAAGAAGUGUAAGGAGUCUCAGGCAACUGUGUGAUCACUUUUACCAACAGACUCUGCUCCUCAUACCAAUUAGAUUCAGAUUGCUGCAGAUCCUGAGAAACUAUAACAAACAUUUUACUGGUGGACAACUGCUGACAAUUAAAAGGAAGGCAGCAUUACUACUUCAAAAUCAGAAGGAAAAUGAAACAAAACACAAUCACAAUAGUUAAUUCUUUUUAUUUCUUCACCCCUCUGACCAGGGAUGUUGACUGAGUGCUUUCCACAUUAAAUUACUUAUCAUAUGUCCUAAUUGAAUGCAAAUUCCUCUGCUGUAUUUCACCUAAAGCAAAUAUGUGUCAGCUGGUGCAUGCAUCCUAAGGCAGCAGAAACAGAGAUAAAAACCUAACUUGCAAGGGUGUAAACUAUUUCACUGCAAAUCGCUUCAACAGAAACAUUAAGCUAAUGUGCUAAUCUCACAAGUUUUAUCCUCCGCCCUUUUUCCUGAAGUGCCAGCCAUCUAACCUUCUCCCAACAACUUCAGCUUUGAGUGUAGCUGGUACAAAAGAAAGUAGCAUGGAGACAACCUUUCUACAAGUCUGAAGAUAGCGCAGAAGCAAUUGAAAUUUCUUUGAUAUCAAGGAGUCUUUGAGCUUGACAGAAGUAGCUAUGCCAGUAAUGCCUCACUAGUCAGCACAUAAUCUUUGCAUUUUUGUUCUAACAAAUUACACAGCUUUCUUAAAUGUGUUACAUUCAAUUAAAGGCUUUCCCAAAGGGUAGGCUAAUUUAGUUUUUGCUGCCUUCAGAAUAAGGAACCAUGAUCAGUGUAUUCUGACCAUGAAUACACAUGGUUGAAGAGGUGAGAAAACACAGCUGCGAUGGAAAGCCAUGGCUGGAGAAUUUGCCAAAUUAUGGCUUGGUACUGGUACGACAUGGCAAGCUGGGAGUGGCAAAAGCUGCUUAUAAGGAAGCAACCAUCACCCUCCAUACUUUCCCCCUGAAGGAAUUUAUACACUGUCGUUCUUCUGCCAGCAGCAGCAAAUCUGCCUUUCCCAAGCUAUGCCCCUAAUGGUAGAAGUGCUCUAGGCAUUUUCCGUUCCUGGCUUACUACCCCAAUCUACAUACUUUGCUCAGAUAUAUUUAGAACUGGCCCUGAUUCAAGGUUAUAAUUAACUCAAUAGUUUUCUACAGUUUGCAUUUAAAUAAAGCUGCCCUGGCAUAUUCAGGUACUGCCAUGCAGAAUCUACUGAAAGGUCAAAAUAUUUUAUCCCACAUAGGUGAUGAUUAACUUCUUCAGCCCAGUUCACAGAAAAUUAAAAUUGCAUAAAAUAGUAACUAGCUACAGUUUGGGGGUUUGUUUGAAUGUUUGCUUUUAUUUUGUUUUUCACAAAUAUAUAAUUUGUCUAAUUUUAAUUAUAUGUGCAUUUGUGGAAAUUGAAUUUUAAAUCUCAACACACAAAAUCCAUCAAAACCAUUGUUUCUGUGUAAAUGCAUACAUGCCAAAGAGUUAUGCCAAAAGAUACAGAAAAGCUAGCUGAGCACAAAAUAAAAACAAACCAUGAAUAACUAGUUCAUCUGCUAUAAACUAGAUAAUUUACCCUGGAAAUUCAGAAAUUAAAUUCAUAUUAUAAAACAAAACAGGAAUUAUAUCAUGGAACAUGAACAGAGUAAUAUUAAUUAGAAUAGAACAUUGAAUUAUGUAAGGAUACUCCACAAUAUCCCUGUCAUUAUGUUAAAAAAGUUUCUUAGAGUGGUACCUAUAAAUCGUAUUUUAAGUAUAGGCCCGAGCCUAUAUUCCACAUAUUAUAAUACAUGUAAAAGUUUAUUUCACUUUAACUCAGUAUAGGAGAAAGUCCAAGUUCAGAUAGGACUUUAGGACUGAGAAAUAAACGUGUCCUUCUUAAGCUUUGGUACGGGGUCAUAUAAGCAGUAUCCAGAAUUUUUUGAUCACUUAAUUGAUUCCUGUCACAAAUCCUUGGUGAUGUCAGACAGAAUCAGGCAAAAGACCUUGUUAAGGAAGCCCAAACAACACAGGAGGGACUUGCUGGUAGGCUGAUAAUCUCAGGCUGCCUUUGGCUGUCUGGACUGGAAGGAGUUUUAUAUCACAGCAUCAUGUUACCAGCCCACUGAAUAAGGUAGAAAUCAGUGACUUAAACCCAUGACAUCGCAUGAUGACAUGACUUACAAUUGUGUUAAUAAACCAUGAAAAGCAAACUGAAGUCUGAGAGAACCAUCAGGGUUUAAUAACUUUAGUAAGUAGAAUGCUAAUAUCUAUCUCUUUAGGAAAUUCAUCAUUUAUGAUGUUUUAUGAGUAAGCCUUGGACAAGUUGGCCAAGGUACUUGCCCCGUCUUUGUCCUUUUCUCAGACAUUUGCAACAAUACUGUAAACCUAGCCUGUGAGGAUGAUUGGCACAAGAAGGAAGCGGGGAUUAUUCAGCUGUGAUUCCCUGCAAACAUCUGCAAUGCUGCUGAACACAUGCAAACAAUUGUAUAAGGACCUUCAGACAGGGUUUUUUAUGAUGGUUCAAAAUUGUACUGUGUCCAGCCUCUUGUGAUUUCUUGCUGUCCUUUAAACACAAGCUUCCACCUUUAGCAUUGAGACUCUGACUGCUGCCUUGCUUCUUUCUGCUUUAAUUUCUUUUUCCUAUGAUCUUUCAUUUCCUCAAGUAUUAUAAACUGGGGCAAUCAUUGAAUACAUUUGAAUUAGAUUUCAAGUGCUUAAUGAUUUAAAGUCAGAAACAUUGCUUUACUAAUUAGUAUUUUUUUUCUUUCCCUGAGCAAUGCAAGAUGGGUAGGAACACUUUUGCUAAAUAUCAGAGUUUUUCUGAUUCGGGGUAAGGACAAAAUCUAGCUUAUUAUGUAUUUGAACAGGAAGUACACAAGAGUAAGUCAAUUUUAUUUUCAGUUCUCCUCCACUCCCCACCCCCAACAUUAUGGAUUACUGAAGUGCAAUGAAUACAUGUAAAUAAAUGUUAUUUCAGUGAUGUAAAACUCUUCAUUAACAUAAAAGAUAUGUAAAGUGCUAAAAGCACAUGCUAGGGGUGCAAGAACCUUCAGACAGUGGUGUUAGAGUUCAGUGAUUUAUGAGUGGGAACCGAAGGACAGGCCAGGCCAGAAAAGAAAAGUGAUGAGCCAUUUAUUGCAAUUACAGUAAGAAAAAGAUCAAGUGUACAAAUACAUUCCUGGGUUAGUCCAUUGUCUUAUUCUUGUAACUGAUGCUAUUUUGAUGAAUGAGUCUCUUGCCAGGAAAGUCAUGCUUGAUUAUUUUUUUUUUUACAUUUAUGUAUGUGCAUAUAAAUAUUUACUGAUGUCCCUGCAGACAUGUAACCAUGACCAGGGCUAUCUAAUUUCUUAGGUUUUAGUACCAACUGCAUCUGUGAAAGAUACAAAGGUACAAAGAUGACCAUAAGUUUCACAAGGGGUCAGUUUGAAAUCAUUGUUUACUUUUGUAGAUAGUCUUGUCACACUAUGCCUAUUCUCUUCAGAGCAGAACAAAGGAUGAAUUUAUUACACAGUGCAUAUCUCUAGCUUAUCUAUACAUAUGUAUGUAUAGCUGAAGUGUAAAAGGCAAUAUUGAAGUUAAUACAAAUUCUUUAAUAUUUUACAAUACUUAUUUAUGUAGCAGUUUUUCUCUGUUGCCAGCAGAAGGUCACUGGGGUACCAUGGUUAACGUGUUUAAGAGGGAAAAAAAAAAAAGUCUGUAGUAUCCUGAUACAGGUUUUGGACAGCUCUUCAGAGCUACAAUUCUGUCUUCACAGAGAAAGCUUUGGGAGCUCCCCUUUUCAGCUGUGGGACCCUGACAGCAAAGCUAAAAGGCAACCCAUUAAAUGGCUAAAUUGGGACACAAGACAGUUAUGGAGAUUUUGCUCUGCCUGUUUUUGUCAAUCAGUUUUCUCACUGAUUGAUUGAUUUAUUGUGAUAGACUGAAAAUAGUAAGAUAAAAAUUGGAGAUUUUAGCUAGAAAUAAGUUACUUUUAAGUUUACUUUUAAAAGUGAAGUGGGGAGAGGCAAAAGAUACCAGAGAGGAAGAGCUUUAACUGACAAACUCUGCUAGUUAAAAUUGUUAAGAGUUAGGAAAAAAACAGUUAAUUAGAUGGAAAAGGAGGAGUAAAAUUUCAGUUUUAGCCACUUCAUUAAUUUCCAUCAGUUGUCCAGAAAGUUUAGAGAUUUACUGCUAAAGUUAAGGAAAGAAAUAAAGAUAUCUAUUAGCAACUUCACAUGGACAGUUUUGACCAGAACGCAGACUGAGAUCUAGCUGCCCUUGGAUAACAUCAUUAACUGUAAAACUAGGUCAGAAAAAAUACUUAUACAAAAAAUCUACUCUAAGGUAGAAACAGGCUCAUGUGAAAAUUAUUUAUAAAAAUUAAAUUUGGAUAGCUUUUGAAAAUAGUAAGCUUAUUUAUAUGUAUAUUUUUGCUUUAAGACCUCUGCGAAUGUCAUCACAAGGACUGAUUCUGCUCUUCUUCCUCUGGAACAUCAGGAUUAACAUCAUGAUGGAACAGUAGUAUGUGGCUACCCUCAGUAAAGGGAAACUGGACACAGGCUGUAAAAAUUUCUUUUUCUUAAUGCCAAUUAAAUUUAACAAUAAUUGCUGAGCAUUUCCUGACGCCUUGUCCAUUGGUACAAUCAGCGUCCAAUUCCUAUGAAAGGAAUAGUGACAAAAAAAUGAUGAAAGAUAUCGAUGUUAGAGUAAUAUGGGUAAAUUUUCUAUCUUUUUACAUUAUUAGUUUGUAAAUUAUUAUCCAUUAUUUGCACUAUCUAUGCAGGAUUCCCACUGCAUAGUGUGCAUGUUAAAGUACAAUUUAGAAAGGCACAAUGCCCUUAAAAUCUUAUCAUUAAUUUUCUGCAUUUCCUGACUUUUCAUCAAUAUGACAUUACCUGAACAUUAAUUGAAUUGAGCAAGCAUUCAAUUCAUUAAUUACAUUGUUACAUAUAGUAUCAAGGAAAACACAUUUCCAGAAUCCAAUUUCCUGCAAAGGAGGACAUUUUCCAAGCUUGAGGUAUGCUAAUACUUGUGUUUAAAAUAUUUGCAAAUGAUUUUAUGACCAUUAAUAAUACUGCACUUCAUCUACAUGCAGAUAACAAUCUGGAAAAAAAUGCCAUCUGUUCCUUUCAACAGCAUUUUAAUAGUAUUUAUAUAUGGCUCUAAGAAUGUUCUCCCAUAAGAUUAAAAUCUUAGAUUUGUCACAAAAUGGAUUAAUUUUUGUUGCCAUUUUCAGAUCUCAUUAUAUUUUUGGCAGAAAGCAAAAUGGUUUUGUGUCAUUUUCUGUUCCUUUUACAAGUUUGUCACUGAUAAUGCUUUGUAAAGAUAAAUUUACAUCAAGUAUUGAGCCUUGUGAUAAUUCACUCUUAUGGCAGGACAGCACUGAUUAGAACUGCAAAUUCUACAAAAUCAGUUGACUUCUCCACAUAAAUAUCACAGGAGGUGGUAUAAGUAUUGCUUGUUUCUCAUGGUAAUUUAUAUGCAAUAAAAAGAAAAAAAAAAUAAAAGGUUUGUUAUUUAACAUGGAUGAGAACACAUUCACUGAUGAUUCCUGAGAUGACUUCUAUUUAGAGAGCAAAUAUAAGAAAAGGCAACAAUGCAAAAAAGCAUAAUUUAUGUCCUUAUGCAAGACUGAAUUGUGUAGCAUUUAAAAACCUCAUAAUGCAUAAUAGGGAAUUGUUAUCCUAAUUUUGCAGAUAGAUAGAAAUUUGACCAACGAUGUGUCAGACUGACUGAGAACACAGCUGUUUUUUGACAAAACUGGAGUUCCUCCCCAUUCCAUAACCAGAACUCACUGCUGAUUGAAAACAGUGAACUUUCCAUAGGAGCACUCCUACAAACUAACACAUAAAUCAGAGCAAACCAGGCUAGGAAAGACUUUUUUUCACUGCUCUGCGAAUUUAGUACAUUUUAGGUGAAAUGAUUUGAUAAAUACAAAAUAAUAUGAUAAUGUUAAGUAUUUUCAGAGUCAGUGGCCUAUUUCUUUUUCCUGUUAAUGUAACCUUUGUAUAUGGGUAUGUUUUUGUCAAAUCCAAGGGUCAGUAACUUUUGUCAUUGCCAUAACGUGAUGACAGUGGAUGCUGAGAGAUUACAUGGACUCAAGGGGAACUUGGACAAGUUCUUCUUUAAAUUGUGACCCUGAAAAUGCUGGGCAACAAAUGACAGGGCUUUGGGAUAGUGUCUGUGGGAGACUUUACUACAAAUUUUAGUUGUUGUUUUACACUUUGAAAUCUUCCACUGUUAGUUGUGUUUUGAGACAAGAUACUGGAUAAAUGGUUCUGUCUGACCUAAAGCAGCUAUUGUUACAUUCUCAUGUUCUAGUUUACACUCACUUGCUAGUAGUUAUCGUUACUCAGAUCCUUUUAUUUUUUUUCUCUACUUCACACAAAUCUGGUCAUAGAAUAAUUUUAAAAUUCUGCUUACUCCCAUUUCUCACUUCCUUGUAGAAAAAGAAAGCACAGUGAGAUUUAAACACACUUAACACAGAUGCUGUCAUAACAGAAGCAAAGCCAUAUUUGUCCUUGAUUUGAGGUUAAGAAAAAAAAAUAAAGAAAAAAGAAGAAAGCACUGAAAGACUUGCUUCUUUUGAAAGUAAAAAUAAGAUCUAAAAAUACAUUUACAACUUACUUCAGGCAACUGAUUUCAUGUAAUAGUUGAGAACCCCAAAGAACAGGUCAUAUUUCUAACUUUCAAAAAUCUGUAUAUUUACUCUGAAGUCAACAUAUGGUGCUUGAAGCACAUUAUGACUGAAGAAAGCAGAAAUAAAUAAGAAAUAAAUAGAUAUAAAAAUAACAUUUUUUAAGAAGAAAUAAAUAGAAUUAUUUGUGCCCUAUUGAUGAAGUAUUUCAAAACCAAAAAAGCAUCUGCUUUAGAAGAGUAUUCCAUGCUCUUAUUCAGCAUGACCUUGUUAACUCUCUGAAUAUUUCACUGUAGGUACAUCUCUAAUCCAGAUAAGGUAUUGCGAGAUGCAGUGUACAGCUAUUAAUGCAGACACAAUAAGAUGACAGACAGAAAAUGUUUGAAAAAUGUUAUAUCUGAAUUUGAAGUGCCACAACCCAUUGCUUUAUAUACGCCUAUAAAAUACUAAAUUAAAGGUGCAUGCUCAAGGGGUAGGUUUUGGCAUACUUAAAAAAAAUCUGUCUAUGACACAAAAAAUAGCUACUUAUUCCCCCUUAUUAGAUGGAAUAGAUCCUUUGAAAACUUAGCUUUCUUUCCUUUCCAGUCCGGGUAAUCAUUAAUGUAAAGAUGUAUGUCAUAUAACAUUUAUAUACACAUACACACACGCAAGUACACAUACAGAAAGAAAAAAUCCUAAACUUUGAUGACAGAAGUUAGUAGGCUCAACUACAUUCUUGUAUGUCUUUCUACAAAUAAUUUCAGUAUAUUUAUAACAAUAUUUCUAACUGAAAUACUAAUUACUGAUCUAUAAAGUGAUAUGAAACUAUUUACUUGAAACUAAUCAAAUGCUUGACUUAAAAGAAAAAAAAAACAGUACUAAUAACUUGGGAUGAUUGCCUAGUGAGCAGAAUAAAGAUGUAGCUACAAAAAUGUAAAGUUAACUUUUUUUUUUUUUUUAAUUAGCAUUUAUUUAAACUUUCUACUUUUCUUCUUUCUCUACAUAAAAAAAGCACCUUGCAGAUACACUUUAGAUUUCAUUAGGAAGAAACUGUGUUGGUAAAGCUAAAAAACUCUGGACUAAUAGAGUCCUAAAACAAAACAAACGAACAAAGAAACAAACAAAAACAGAGUAA